AAUCUACCUAGUAGAAGGGGAUAGCCCGAGGAAACUCGGAUUAAUACCGUAUACCUCCUCGGGAGAAAGAAGGCCUCUCUUUGAAGCUUUCGCUACUAGAUGAGCCUGCGUAAGAUUAGCUUGUUGGUGAGGUAAAGGCUCACCAAGGCUACGAUCUUUAGCGGGUCUGAGAGGACGAUCCGCCACAUUGGGACUGAGACACGGCCCAGACUCCUACGGAGGCAGCAGUGGGGAAUAUUGGACAAUGGGC
rnacentral:rRNA from 1 species